AUAGGCCUGUUUUCGUGUGUAAUUUUCGUUCGUGCAUCCGCGCUAAGGCCAUGUUCUCCGCGGUAUGUGUGUUAUUCGUGAACGCAAUGGGAACGAGUCCUCGUCAACGCAGUUUAACGCGAUUGUAAGUAAAGGGAAGCAGCGGGCGCCUUCACCGGCGCGGCCCUCGGCGAUCGCUUUGUUUGGAUGUGUCGCGCGCACGGUUCAACGUUUGACUACCGGGGUUGCGCGUUGUCGCAGUGCAGUGAUGAUUAUAUGCCAGUGCUCAUCGUGAAACUACACAAACCGCAUCACUGCUGAUGGAGCUGCCACGUACGUACACGGCGGCGCCCAAGAAGACCUUUUCUGAGGAGAAUGCACGCCUGGCGAUUGUCACUUGCAGUCGUAACUUUUACAAAGCUGUUUUCACAACGCGGACGACACCGUGUCAAAGGAGGUUAUGGAAGAAAGACUGAAAGCAGUGCACUGGUACCCCUUGCAGCAAUUGGGUAAUGUGCUGUAGUAGUGAACUUUGCAAUAAAGUUUUAUCUC